AACGAACGCUGGCGGCAUGCCUAACACAUGCAAGUCGAACGAGACCUUCGGGUCUAGUGGCGCACGGGUGCGUAACGCGUGGGAACCUGCCCUUAGGUUCGGAAUAACUCCCCGAAAGGGGUGCUAAUACCGGAUAAUGUCUUCGGACCAAAGAUUUAUCGCCUUUGGAUGGGCCCGCGUUGGAUUCGCUAGUUGGUAGGGUAAAAGCCUACCAAGGCGACGAUCCAUAGCUGGUCUGAGAGGAUGAUCAGCCACACUGGGACUGAGACACGGCCCAGACUCCUACGGGAGGCAGCAGUGGGGAAUAUUGGACAAUGGGCGAAAGCCUGAGCCAGCAAUGCCGCGUGAGUGAUGAAGGCCUUAGGGUUGUAAAGCUCUUUUACCCGGGAUGAUAAUGACAGUACCGGGAGAAUAAGCUCCGGCUAACUCCGUG
rnacentral:rRNA from 1 species